AGUGAACGCUGGCGGUAGGCCUAACACGUGCAAGUCGAACGGCAGCACAGUAAGAGCUUGCUCUUACGGGUGGCGAGUGGCGGACGGGUGAGGAAUACAUCGGAAUCUACUUUUUCGUGGGGGAUAACGUAGGGAAACUUACGCUAAUACCGCAUACGACCUACGGGUGAAAGCAGGGGAUCUUCGGACCUUGCGCGAUUGAAUGAGCCGAUGUCGGAUUAGCUAGUUGGCGGGGUAAAGGCCCACCAAGGCGACGAUCCGUAGCUGGUGUGAGAGGAUGAUCAGCCACCCUGGAACUGAGACACGGUCCAGACUCCUACGGGAGGCAGCAGUGGGGAAUAUUGGACAAUGGGCGCAAGCCUGAUCCAGCCAUACCGCGUGGGUGAAGAAGGCCUUCGGGUUGUAAAGCCCUUUUGUUGGGAAAGAAAAGCAGCAGGUUAAUACCCCGCUGUUCUGACGGUACCCAAAGAAUAAGCACCGGCUAACUUCGUG
rnacentral:rRNA from 1 species